rnacentral:rRNA from 1 species
GAUGAACGCUGGCGGCGUACCUAAUACAUGCAAGUCGAGCGAACGGACGAGAAGCUUGCUUCUCUGAUGUUAGCGGCGGACGGGUGAGUAACACGUGGAUAACCUACCUAUAAGACUGGGGUAACUUCGGGAAACCGGAGCUAAUACCGGAUGAUAUUUUGAACCGCAUGGUUCAAAAGUGAAAGACGGUCUUGCUGUCACUUAUAGAUGGAUCCGCGCUGCAUUAGCUAGUUGGUAAGGUAACGGCUUACCAAGGCAACGAUGCAUAGCCGACCUGAGAGGGUGAUCGGCCACACUGGAACUGAGACACGGUCCAGACUCCUACGGGAGGCAGCAGUAGGGAAUCUUCCGCAAUGGGCGAAAGCCUGACGGAGCAACGCCGCGUGAGUGAUGAAGGUCUUCGGAUCGUAAAACUCUGUUAUUAGGGAAGAACAUAUGUGUAAGUAACUGUGCACAUCUUGACGGUACCUAAUCAGAAAGCCACGGCUAACUACGUG